UACGGAGGGAGCUAGCGUUGUUCGGAAUUACUGGGCGUAAAGCGCACGUAGGCGGCUUUGUAAGUUAGAGGUGAAAGCCCGGAGCUCAACUCCGGAACUGCCUUUAAGACUGCAUCGCUUGAAUCCAGGAGAGGUGAGUGGAAUUCCGAGUGUAGAGGUGAAAUUCGUAGAUAUUCGGAAGAACACCAGUGGCGAAGGCGACUAACUGGACAUGUAUUGACGCUGAGGUGCGAAAGCGUGGGGAGCAAACAGG
rnacentral:rRNA from 1 species